rnacentral:rRNA from 1 species
AGUGAACGCUGGCGGUAGGCCUAACACAUGCAAGUCGAACGGCAGCACAGUAAGAGCUUGCUCUUACGGGUGGCGAGUGGCGGACGGGUGAGGAAUACAUCGGAAUCUACUUUUUCGUGGGGGAUAACGUAGGGAAACUUACGCUAAUACCGCAUUCGACCUACGGGUGAAAGCAGGGGAUCUUCGGACCUUGCGCGAUUGAAUGAGCCGAUGUCGGAUUAGCUAGUUGGCGGGGUAAAGGCCCACCAAGGCGACGAUCCGUAGCUGGUCUGAGAGGAUGAUCAGCCACGCUGGAACUGAGACACGGUCCAGACUCCUACGGGAGGCAGCAGUGGGGAAUAUUGGACAAUGGGCGCAAGCCUGAUCCAGCCAUACCGCGUGGGUGAAGAAGGCCUUCGGGUUGUAAAGCCCUUUUGUUGGGAAAGAAAAGCAGCAGGUUAAUACCCCGCUGUUCUGACGGUACCCAAAGAAUAAGCACCGGCUAACUUCGUG